GAACGCACAUUGCGCCCGCCAGUAUUCUGGCGGGCAUGCCUGUUCGAGCGUCAUUUCAACCCUCAAGCCCCAGUCGGCUUGGUGUUGGGGACCGGCCCCGGCCGCCCCCCAAAUGCAGUGGCGACCUCGCCGCAGCCUCCCCUGCGUAGUAGCACAACCUCGCACCGGAGCGCGGAGACGGUCACGCCGUAAAACGCCCAACUUCUCUAGAGUUGACCUCGGAUCAGGUAGGAAUACCCGCUGAACUU
rnacentral:misc_RNA from 1 species